rnacentral:rRNA from 1 species
UAGGGAAUAUUGGACAAUGGGCGCAAGCCUGAUGCAGCGACGCCGCGUGGGGGAUGACGGCCUUCGGGUUGUAAACCUCUUUCGGCAGGGACGAAGCCGUGAGGUGACGGUACCUGUAGAAGAAGGACCGGCCAACUACGUGCCAGCAGCCGCGGUAAUACGUAGGGUCCGAGCGUUGUCCGGAAUUAUUGGGCGUAAAGGGCUCGUAGGCGGUUUGUCGCGUCGGGAGUGAAAACCAGGUGCUUAACACCUGGCUGGCUUUCGAUACGGGCAGACUAGAGGUAUGCAGGGGAGAACGGAAUUCCUGGUGUAGCGGUGAAAUGCGCAGAUAUCAGGAGGAACACCGGUGGCGAAGGCGGUUCUCUGGGCAUGACCUGACGCUGAGGAGCGAAAGUGUGGGGAGCGAA